ensembl:lncRNA
GAAUGCUGGCGGACUUGGCUCAUGUACCUGCGCUCCUGUCCGUAGUGAUGUGGGAUCCCCCACAGCUCAGCGCCAACCACAGCCUCUUCUUGGUUUACAAACCCCCUUCCCACCAAAAAGAAGGGUUGGGGAAGCAGCCCUCGACAGGGAGAUCAGAGGCUCAAGGUUCCAGUGCCCACCCAGCCUUUCUGAACUGUGGUACCUUAAACAAAUCAGGUUACCUCUCAAUGUAUCCUUUUGCUCGUCCAUACAGUCGGGUCGACAUAACUAACUUUCGCUCCCUCCCAGGGCUGUAUAAGGACAGAAAGAGAGAUGUGCAGACAGCAUCUGAUGCACAGUAGACACCCCAAGUGGGGUCACCAGAUAAAUGCAGGACACCCAGUUACAUCUGAAUUUUAGAUAAACAACAGGCAUUUUUAGUAUAAAUAUAACCCAAAUAUUCACAGAACAUUCUUAUACUAAAAAAAUUAUUUGUUUCAGUAGAAGAGCACAGUAAAUCUAACAUAAAAAAGACAAAAAAAUUAUUUGCUGUUUUCCUGAAAUUCAAAUUUACUGGAAAUCUUGUCGUUUUCUUUGCUAAAUCUGGUACUCUUGCCUGCAACAAAUGUCAUUCCUUCCCGGCUUAUCAUGUGUACACAUGAAUUUGUAACCCUUACCAUCUUCCGGUUCAUUGUGAGGGUCUCAUUAAUUUCCAUGAACUCAUGCAAUCAACACGUGCUUGUUGGGCUGGUACAGAAGACGCACAAAGGCCGAGGACAUAGAUUCACCAAGUUUUCUGGCUUGAGCUUGUGUUAUGAAACACCCUGGCAAGGGUCGAGGGCUGUUCAACUGUGAGCUGUUGGUAUUAUGGUGACCAUUCAGGUUCAGGGCCUCCUUUUAGCCUGGAAACUCCAGGACAGCAUUUGAUCUAUUUCAGGAGCUUAAUGUAGAGCUUAAUCCGUCACCUUCCUCUGGGUCUCUGGGAGGGCCAAGUGAUGCACAGGGGAUUAGCACCUCCGUGCUUGCAAAGCUGCAUCCCCAACCUGCGCCCCUCUCGAGCUCUCCUCCCACCUGACGAUGAGUCAGCACUUUAUUCUAGCUCCCCUGAAGUCAUGAGCCCCUCCUGUCUGCCUCUUGUGGAGAUGCCUUUUUGGGGCCUUCAGAAUUAUAAAGGGAGAGGGCAGAUGGCAGCCCAGGCCCACACCUUCAGAUAUCUCCUGGGUGCUGUGUCUGCUGUGUCUCCUGAACAGGGAGAAAGACUGCAGAUACCUGCACUGUCCACCCGCUACCUCCUGGAUCAUGCUGGCCUGUUGAUACAAAGGAAGCUCUCAUUCUGUGGCUGGGAGACCUACCCACCGGCUGGUUACAGAUGGGUUAGCAUCUGCGUGAUGUAGAGUUUAAAUGGUUGUUCAGACAGAGCGAGUCCUGUGGCCAAGAAGAUCAGCAGAUAUUUUGCAGAAUCAGGUAUCUGGUAAUGCCCGGGUUGUACAGGGAGCUUAACCAGCUUUGGGAUGGCUGUUGUGGAGUACACCACACUGGGCGAUUACAUGAAGUCACUGCCCGCCUGAUGUGACCAACUUACUUGUGGGAAGGCAAGCUGUUUGUUGGAGUCUCUGAGGUCCAACGUGUGUUGACUCAUCUGAAGUAAGCCUUCGCCCAGGGUCAUGACCUCACCCUGAAGUUUGGUGUAAAUUCCAUGCAAUCUCUGUGUAAACAUUGGAAAGCCGCUCUUUCAGGGCGCUUUCCUUUAUGGGCCCUCCCUGAGGGGUUAAGCCAUUUCUGUGGGGCUGCAGCUGCAAUGGUGAUGACUGUACCUGACUCCUCUGCAGGAGGCCGAACGCCCUGAAGGGGAAGAAAGGCAGUGUGUCUGGGACUCUGCCCACUCCCUCUGACCUGUGCUGUUCCCUCGGGCUUUCUGGGGUGCAGCUGGGAUCUAGAUAAUCUUGUGUUUUCUCUGAAGGUGACAUCUGUCUUAACAAAUGCAUUUGUAUAUAAUUUGCGCAGGAAUUGGCACUAUUUUAUGGAGGUCUGUGUGGUUUUUUUGAGCUACCAUUUUUGCUUCCUGCUUACCUGUGAUGCUCGUCCAUAAUUACUGGAAGCACCACUCUUUCAGGCAGUAAUCUGAUGAGAUUGCAGCUCCAUGGGGCAGGGCCUGCCCUGUCCUGUUCACAGCUGCAUCUUGGCACCUAUGACAGUGCCUGCCAUGUAUGGAGCUUGCUAAAUGUUUGUUGAAUCCUAUGAGGCCACUCACUGACUUAGUUUCCUGUGGCUCCUGUAACAUAUACUGCAAACCUGGUGGCUUAUAACAACAUGCAUUUUUUCUCUUACAGUUCUGAAGGCCGGAAGUCCACAAUCAGUGUCGCUGGCUGAAAUCGAGGUGCUGGCAGCCUGCGCUCCCUCUGGAGGCUCUAGGGGAACCAGCCUCUGAUGGCUGCGGCAGCUGCGGCGUUUCUUGGCUGUGGUCACAGUCUCUGCCCCCAUGGCCACAUUGCCUUCUCCUCUCCUGUGUGUGCCUCCGCCUUAUUAGGGCCACCUGGAUAAUCCAGGAUCAACUCCUCACUUCAGAAUCCUGGAUCCAGUAGCAAAGUGCCCCUCCCUCUUUUCUGUAUUGGUGGCAGCUACAGGUAGUGGGGAUCAGGAGGUGGCUGUCUGCCACACUCACAAAGGGGAUGGAGACCUGAAGGGAGCUGGUCAGUGGUGGCAGUGUCACUCCUGCUGCCCAUGAGGCCAGAUGCCUGCUGGGGAGUCUGGCAUGAACAUGAGUUGGGGAAAGGGAGUUCCAUCCCAACCCCUUCCCUGAGGAUAAGCUUGCCUGGACAGAGAGCCUUCCAGUUUACACGUGUACGGUAUAUGGAUGUGCUUUGGUUAAGAAUAGGCUGAGGUGGAUAACCAGGCCUGCAUGACUCAGUGAGUUUAGAGUGCAGGCAUAUAGCUCUGCUUGUUAUCACAGCCAUGUAGCCAUAACAUGCGAAGGCCAUGCCUUGGCCCUAUGCCACUAUUGUCUGUAAAAACUAUAAUUGGCCUGCUGACUCCGUACAGACGCACUUGCACCCAGAGAGAGAGAGAGCCAGAGCUGUCCGACUUUGCAGAUGGACGGGGGAACCAGGACACAGCUCAGCCUACUCAUACCCAGAGAGAGAAGGAGUUCAGCUGCUGACCCUGAAGGCAAGGGAGAGCUGGCCACGCAGGUGUGUGUGGGAGCUGGCUGCUGAGAGGAACCGCUGAGCCGGAGCAGGCAGCCAAAAUAAAGGUGAACAGUGUAAAAGAGCUAGUGUAAGC